rnacentral:rRNA from 1 species
UUCGGGUUGUAAACCGCUUUUGAUCGGGAGCAAGCCUUCGGGUGAGUGUACCUUUCGAAUAAGCACCGGCUAACUACGUGCCAGCAGCCGCGGUAAUACGUAGGGUGCAAGCGUUAUCCGGAAUUAUUGGGCGUAAAGGGCUCGUAGGCGGUUCGUCGCGUCCGGUGUGAAAGUCCAUCGCUUAACGGUGGAUCUGCGCCGGGUACGGGCGGGCUGGAGUGCGGUAGGGGAGACUGGAAUUCCCGGUGUAACGGUGGAAUGUGUAGAUAUCGGGAAGAACACCAAUGGCGAAGGCAGGUCUCUGGGCCGUUACUGACGCUGAGGAGCGAAAGCGUGGGGAGCGAACAGGAUUAGAUACCCUGGUAGUCCACGCCGUAAACGGUGGAUGCUGGAUGUGGGGCCCGUUCCACGGGUUCCGUGUCGGAGCUAACGCGUUAAGCAUCCCGCCUGGGGAGUACGGCCGCAAGGCUAAAACUCAAAGAAAUUGACGGGGGCCCGCACAAGCGGCGGAGCAUGCGGAUUAAUUCGAUGCAACGCGAAGAACCUUACCUGGGCUUGACAUGUUCCCGACAGCCGUAGAGAUACGGCCUCCCUUCGGGGCGGG